GGUAAUGUGGCUCAGUGGUAGAGUGCCUGCCUAGCAUGCAUGAAACCCUUGGUUCCAUUCCUCAGUACCA
rfam:Dipodomys ordii contig_15122, whole genome shotgun sequence.